GCGAAAGCGAAAACGGGCAAAACCCUAACCCUAGAACCCUUCGCCUCGCGACCCUAUAAAAACCCCACGGCGUCUCCAAUCUCUCGCCCGUCGCCGAGCUUCGAACUCCUUGAGCGGCUCUCAGGUAAUGUCAUCCAUUGUUGCGAAUUCAAGACCACCGUCUUCCCCAUCUUCUCUCUUUUAUUGACAAUGCAGAUGUUUUUUUAUCGGGUAAUGUGUUUUUCUGCCUGUUUGCUUGCUUAUGGAUGGUUUUAAUUUCUGCAGUGGGAGGAUCUGCUUUUUAAGAUAGCAAAUGACGAGCUUUUUCUAGUGGUUGAGUACUCAUGCUCUGCGUUGAGUAUAAUGAUUCAACACUUUGAAUAGGAAGAUCUGAUGCUUCUCUUGGCUUAUAUUUUCUUGUCAAAUUAGUUUUGUUUUUUGUUAUCAAUUUUAAAUGGAAGCCAGUGAUGACAAAUUGGAUUAAAUUCCUGAAGGCAGGUUUUUAUGGGCUUGGCUUUUGGUGUUGAAAUUUCUGAACUAGGACGGUCUGAGGCUUCUUCUGUGUAUACUUGUGUGUUUAUAUAUGUACAUUGUUUCCUCCAUUUCUGAAUCAGUAGAUGGUAUUGAUCAGUACCAUACAAAUGGCGAAUGAGUCAAACGAUUGUCUUGUUUUGUUUGGUCAUUUAUUUAUUUAUUUUUAUCUCUGUUCAUCGUGUUUCAGAAAGCAAAAACGUUGUGGAUGAUGAGAUAUAAAUAUUACAGUUAUCCCUGGCUGAUGCAUCAGGUGCUGAAAUUUGUAAAUCUGACACAACCACAGUACUUUUGUUUGCUUGCUUGAAAGAUUGGAGGAAUUUUUGCUGUUCCUUCUCAAUUCUGCUCAUGUGAUCACACUUUAGUAUAAAAGCAGCCCUGAUGUAGAAGGGCUAGAACUUCAGGCCAUGUUUUCAGGGAAGGAAAUGGGAAAUAGAUGGAAUUGCUAUUCCUUUACUUAUUUAUGAUGCAUUUGUAGGAAUAAGCAUUUCAUCAAAGGGAAUGAUUUGGCGUUUCUUCCUUCCCAGGUUGGAAGGAACGCUUGCUUCUUUCCACUUUAAUUUUUUCUUUCGUACACCUACCCUUGUUUUUCUCUCUCAACUUAUUUUGGGAACAAAGUUAAUAUUUUUAGACGCUAGUUCUGUUGUACUGUAACGACAUUUUUGUCUUAUCCAAACAGAGGUUGGAUUACUAAUUUCACUCUGUUUUUUCAAUGGUUUCCUUGUGCCAAUAUGAGCCUAUAUUCUGAGAUUGCACGGUUUUGGCGACUUGGGUGUUGUUAGAUUAUGCAGGUUCAACAUGGAUACUAACCUAACUGAUGCCGGAGCACUGGUUGGCUGAACUGUGUCCUAGGUGCACCAUGUCUUUUGUGAAGAACAUAGAGAUUUGAGUAUUUGUCGUAUGAUGCACCAAUAAUUGCAGGAUGCAUGAAGUUUUUGACUGAUACAUUUCACUAAAUUAUAUGCUCACUAUUGUGAAACCUUAUGCUAGACUCAGUCUAUAUAGAUCAGCUCAAUGAUAGCCUUCGAUGUAUAGAUAUCAAGCUAGGUCUUAAGAUUUCAAUUUGUUUAUGUAGGUUUCAAGCACCUUUGAGCUGCUCUCUCUGGUUUUUUCUUAUAAGCUCAAAAAACUUCUGCACCAGACCAAAUUUUCCAGCUAGGUUUGUCUAAUUGUUUUUGAUUUAUUGACACAUUUGAAGUGAAAAUGAUUAAACUGCUAUUCACUUUGAUUCUUUUUGUACUUGAAUUGAAAAUGAUUUUUGUUUUGUACAAGAGAGUUGAAUUGAAAUUGUCAGCCGGCAUUUUUAUCCAUCCACAUGCUAUUGCAAACCAUUUCCUUGUUAAUGCUUGUCCUGCAAUCGAUGCUUGUCUGGAUGCAACUCCCAGUUCUGAAGUAUGAAUGAUGAGUAUGACACUUUGGAUUCAUUGGAAGGAUCAUUGGCUGCUGUGUUGUGAACUUUUGAGUGGGCGUCUACUAAUAGCUUUAAUGGUUCGGUCCUGCCUUCCAAGCAUGGAUGAUUUGCCAUUUAGUUAAUGAACGUAGCAGAUUUGGGUUUUCAUGGUGAAGUGUUUGGUUCUCCAUUGAAGCAGGCUGCAAAGAAGACUUAAAAUCAUUCAGGCUAGUAGUCACUGUAGAUUGUCUCAUGUAAACUGUGCUACAUCUUCUGCCAAUAGAAAACUCUGGAUCAAUGUUUUCAAAAAGCAGUCAAGUAAACUGUUUGAGGUAUAGGUUUUCAGGGAUUGUAGUGAUAUUCUUUUAUGGAAUUGGGAGAUAGAUCUUGAAAACAAUGCUAAUAAGACUGAUGGUGUGGGAUCUACAGUUUUCAGGCCCCUGAAAUCUCUUAUUUGGCUUCAGCUGCCUCUCAGUCACCCGUGGCCAAGGGUGAGUGACCCACGAACCAAGCGAGCUCGGUUUGAAACCUAGACCCUAGAUGAGACCGUGUGUUGUUUCACAUUUUGAAGACCAAAAGAAUAUAAUUUGCAAUCCGCAGUUUCAACCUAUUGUGGACACUCAAACGAAGAAGAAGAGAAGAAUCGAUCCAUGGCAACGGUGACAGCUUUUGAAAUCGCUGCUGCUGAUGGAGUUUGCAAAGAUCACCUUUUUAUAAUAGCCUCCCUGGGAUGAAUGAAUUACCUUUUGAUAUUGCCUAGAGAAGAUAUUUGAGAGUGUCAACUCUAAUCUUCAAAGCGUGCAAAUUUUUCAAGUCAGUACGAGCCUGUGGAAAGAACAAAACUGGCAAGAUAAAGGGAAAGAAAAUCACGGACAGUUGUACAAGCUUCAAUAUUUCAAGUGUAGAUUCCUUUUCAAAUGGAUGAAUAAAAUUGUGUUGACAAGACA